rnacentral:lncRNA from 1 species
GUUUUUUAUUUCAAGUUUUUGUUGGCUGAACAUGGUGCAUCAGCCUAGGAGUCUGAACUCAGGGGACGUUUAAACCGUUCCAUUUUGAGUUGACCUAAAUCGACCACCGUAGCACCGGUUAUAAAUAAACACACCUCCAAUAUCUUUCACAACAUGUUUUUAAAUAAUCUUCAUAAACAAAUGAUUUCUUAUGGACCUUCAUAGUUCCGGAUGAAUAUCAUGAACCGAACUAUAUCAGGUUAUAACGGUUACCGGACUUUUAAGUUAACGCGAAGGCACUAACGUAAAGAAGGCACUAACGUAAAGAAGGCACUAACGUAAACCACUUCCGGUGGGGUUUUGUAACGAUGUAACAAUAAACUUAUGCAAUUUAAAAAUGCGGAAUCAUUGAGAACAGAAAACCGCAGGAAGAGCUGAUGUCUCCUGUGCGGUGCUCGGUGAGCAGUGCAUUGUGGGGGAUGUGUGCAGCUGACUCCGUGUCCAUGCCGGUCCACUGGUACUACAACGUAGACGACAUCAGGAGGGACUUCGGCGGCUGGAUGUCCGGCUUCGCGGCCCCCAGAGACCGACACCCGUCCAGCAUCCUCAGCCUCUCCAACACCGCCGGUAGCGGUCGGACCGCCUGGUCCUCCGGCGCCAAGCGACCCGAUGUGGUCGGUAGUGUGAUCCUCCACGACAAACUGGACCUGUGGAAGACCUCCAAGGGCUCCGUGCACUACCAUCAAGGUCUUCAGUCUGGGGACAACACCCUGAACGUCCUCUGUUCCCUCCGAGCUGCCCGCUCACUCGUCUCCGGAGGUUUCCGCGACGUUUCUCGGCCGGACGCUCGUGCCGCCGUGCUGUCGGACUACGUCCACUUCCUGACCACGCAUGGCUCGCACCGCGACACGUACGCCGAGUCCUCCCACCGCUCAUUCUUCUCCAGCUGGCGGGAUGGCAGGCCGACGUCACCCCGUCAGGUUCUGGCCUUUGCAGAAAAACGCAGCAAGCAAAUGUUGAGCUCCUCGUUCCCCGACAGCCAGCUGGACGCCAUUGGCUGCCUACCCAUGAUCCUCCCCUUCAUCCUGUUGUCCGCCUCGGCCAAUGAGGAGCAAGCUGUCUCAGCAGCUGUAGAAUUCGUGAAGCUCACCCACCCCCACCCGAAGGUGCCCGAAUACGUGUCAAUCUACAGCCGGGCGCUGCACGCCGUUCUGGGUGGAGCCAGCGUCCGGCAGCAGGCGGAGCACGCUCUGAAGAGGUUGGACGCCUGGGAGGACUGCCGAAGUUACGGAUGCAAGGCGGCCAGGUUUCCUCGGGGUUCUGACGAGCAGCUGAAGGUCCAUCAGAGCGCCGUGAGCUACCUGGGCCUGGCCUGCUACACUAAAGGAGCUUUGUCCAGCUUGUUCUAUCUGGCCCACGAGUUCCACGACGACGUCAGUGGAGGAAUCCUGGCCAACACCAACUGUGGAGGUUCUCUUUGAGGCCAGGUUAUCUUUGAAUCCAGGUUCUCUCUGCUCCUCUCAACCUUGUUACCUUCCGGUUCCAGGGGAGAACUGUAACCGCGGGGCGGCGCUGGGGGCCCUGCUGGGGGCCGGGGGGGCCUACAGGGGCGCCAGCAUCCCCCAGGAAUGGAGGGACCAGCUGAGAGACGCCCAGGAGUUCAUUCCCGACAUCAUGAAGGACAUGGAGUGACAACAUUACCAAAAUAAAAGCUUGUCUUCCUGUUUACAAACGCAAACAUUUAUUAUUUUCAUUUGAAAUUUAAAAAAAUUCCUUAAUUAAGUGUGUUUGUGUGUUUGUAUGGAAUAAAAAAACUAAUUGUAAAUUAAAAGCAAGAAAUAUAUAAAAACUGUUUAUAUAAAAACUGUUUAAUAUAUCAUAAUAUUAUUAUUAUAAUAUAUAUAUUAUAUUAUAUAUAUAUAUAUAAUAUAAUAAUAAUAACCAUCCAUUCCUUUAGGACCAAAUAUAAUCCUGUGAACAAUCUGAUUUCAACAUAAAUUUUAUUGUCUUUCAUAGUACUAUUCCACACAGUAGUACAACGUAUGUAAAAACUGAAUAUUCUAUAAUAAAGGUACUUUUACUUUGAUACUUGAAGUACAGUUAACUGAUACGUUCUGUACUGUAUUGUAAAUUAAAGGGACGUGAAGUAAUUACUGAAGGGUUCUGGCAGUAAAAGUUCAAUAAAGAAGAGUUGAACAUUGGAGACGUUCCACCUCCUCUAAACUGGACAGAAACACAAGAACACAUGAAAGAACCAGAAGGUACUUCAGAGGAGUACUGCAGUAUUUGUACCACACAUCUGUGGAACAGAGAGGGUUUUGUGUGUUUUUCUGACCUUUGAUCAGAACAAACAUGGCGUCCGUCAGCAGAGAAACGAGGCGACUCUUCUUCCUCCUACUCCUCAUCGCUUCUAUCCCAGCAUGCACUGGGCUUCCUGAAGGUCAGUUUCAGGUCUCUUCUUCUUCAUCUUCUUCAGUAUUCAUUUCAAACAGAGUCGUUCACUUCUCUCCACUGUGAAGAUCUCUGAACAGCUGAUCGAGUUACGUUAGCAUAUUAGCUAAGCUAACAAAUGUUGAGGUACUUUAUGUUUAUUUGAUUUGGUUAGACAUCGUAGAAUUAGCACU